ACUAAUGUUUGCGCGUUUAUCGUUCACAGUUUCGCCGGUUCACGAAAGUACAAAUGUGAGUAUAUAUUAAUUAGUGUCGUUAAUUAAUUAUUAUAUAAAUCCGACGCGUCACGUGUACCGACAUCGUAAGGUGUGUAGUGAUCAAUUCGGGACUCCUGAUAGCGUGGCGGGAAAGUCGUUCAAUGAAGCCCUGCGAUAAGUAACCUUAAAAAAAGCGGUGAAGCGAGAAAUUCGCGCGGGAAUAAGCUUUCGCGUUUCACCGAAACACGUCGAAAAUAUACAUCGGACAACGGUGAAGCAACUAUAGGUUUACAACUUCGCUGCUAGUCAUUGCAUCGGCGCGCAGCACCGCGAAGAUUCCUCAUUCGUAUCGUAGCCACUUAUCGAGCUGUCUGCCCGC